CACGUAGGGCGCAAGCGUUGUCCGGAAUUAUUGGGCGUAAAGAGCUCGUAGGCGGUCUGUUGCGUCCGCUGUGAAAACCCGGGGCUUAACCCUGGGCUGGCAGUGGAUACGGACAGACUAGAGGUAGGUAGGGGAGAAUGGAAUUCCCGGUGUAGCGGUGAAAUGCGCAGAUAUCGGGAGGAACACCGGUGGCGAAGGCUGUUCUCUGGGCCUUACCUGACGCUGAGGAGCGAAAGCGUGGGGAGCGAACAGG
rnacentral:rRNA from 1 species